CCUACGGGGGGCAGCAGUGAGGAAUAUUGGUCAAUGGGCGAAAGCCUGAACCAGCCAAGUCGCGUGAGGGAAGACGGUCCUAUGGAUUGUAAACCUCUUUUGUCGGGGAGCAAAAAGGCCUCGUUAGGCCACAAGUGAGAGUACCCGAAGAAAAAGCAUCGGCUAACUCCGUGCCAGCAGCCGCGGUAAUACGGAGGAUGCGAGCGUUAUCCGGAUUUAUGGGGUUAAAAGGGUGGGUAGGCGGACUGGAAAGUCAGCGGUAAAAUUGAGAGGCUAAACCUCUUCGAGCCGUUGAAACUGGUUUUCUUGAGUGAGUGAGAAGUAUGCGGAAUGCGUGGUGUAGCGGUGAAAUGCAUAGAUAUCACGCAGAACUCCGAUUGCGAAGGCAGCAUACCGGCGCUCAACUGACGCUCAUGCACGAAAGUGUGGGUAUCGAACAGGAUUAGAUACCCUAGUAGUC
rnacentral:rRNA from 1 species